GACGAACGCUGGCGGCGUGCUUAACACAUGCAAGUCGAACGGGCUGCCUGGUUUUCGGAUCGGGUGGUGAGUGGCGAACGGGUGAGUAACACGUGAGUAACCUGCCCCUCUCUUUGGGAUAACGUCGGGAAAUCGGCGCUAAUACCGGGUAUUCUGGCUUCCUCGCAUGGGGUUGUUGGGAAAGGUUUUUUCUGGUGGGGGAUGGGCUCGCGGCCUAUCAGCUUGUUGGUGGGGUGAUGGCCUACCAAGGCGGUGACGGGUAGCCGGCCGGAGAGGGUGUACGGCCACACUGGGACUGAGACACGGCCCAGACUCCUACGGGAGGCCGCAGUGGGGAAUAGUGCACAAUGGGCGGAAGCCUGAUGCAGCGACGCCGCGUGGGGGAUGACGGCCUUCGGGUUGUAAACCUCUUUCAGUGCAGAACAAGGCUCUUUGUGGGUUGAGGGUAUGCGCAGAAGAAGCGCCGGCUAACUACGUG
rnacentral:rRNA from 1 species